UACGAAGGGGGCUAGCGUUGUUCGGAAUCACUGGGCGUAAAGCGUGCGCAGGCGGCUUCUCAAGUCAGGGGUGAAAGCCCAGAGCUCAACUCUGGAAUUGCCUUUGAGACUGAGUGGCUUGAGUACGGGAGAGGUGAGUGGAAUUCCCAGUGUAGAGGUGAAAUUCGUAGAUAUUGGGAAGAACACCGGUGGCGAAGGCGGCUCACUGGCCCGUAACUGACGCUCAUGCACGACAGCGUGGGGAUCAAACAGG
rnacentral:rRNA from 1 species